ACUCCUGCGGGAGGCAGCAGUGGGGAAUUUUGGACAAUGGGGGCAACCCUGAUCCAGCAAUGCCGCGUGAGUGAAGAAGGCCUUCGGGUUGUAAAGCUCUUUUGUCAGGGAAGAAACGGUAGUAGCGAAUAACUAUUACUAAUGACGGUACCUGAAGAAUAAGCACCGGCUAACUACGUGCCAGCAGCCGCGGUAAUACGUAGGGUGCAAGCGUUAAUCGGAAUUACUGGGCGUAAAGCGUGCGCAGGCGGUUGUGUAAGUCAGAUGUGAAAUCCCCGGGCUCAACCUGGGAAUUGCAUUUGAGACUGCACGGCUAGAGUGUGUCAGAGGGGGGUAGAAUUCCACGUGUAGCAGUGAAAUGCGUAGAUAUGUGGAGGAAUACCGAUGGCGAAGGCAGCCCCCUGGGAUAACACUGACGCUCAUGCACGAAAGCGUGGGGAGCAAACAGGAUUAGAUACCCCAGUAGUCCCAUGA
rnacentral:rRNA from 1 species